rnacentral:rRNA from 1 species
GGCGGACGGGUGAGUAACGCGUGAGUAACCUGCCUUCAAGAGGGGGAUAACAUUCUGAAAAGAAUGCUAAUACCGCAUGACAUAUCGGAACCACAUGGUUUUGAUACCAAAGAUUUUAUCGCUUGAAGAUGGACUCGCGUCCGAUUAGUUAGUUGGUGAGGUAACGGCUCACCAAGACCGCGAUCGGUAGCCGGACUGAGAGGUUGAACGGCCACAUUGGGACUGAGACACGGCCCAGACUCCUACGGGAGGCAGCAGUGGGGGAUAUUGCGCAAUGGGGGCAACCCUGACGCAGCAACGCCGCGUGAAGGAUGAAGGUUUUCGGAUUGUAAACUUCUUUUAUUAAGGACGAAAAAUGACGGUACUUAAUGAAUAAGCUCCGGCUAACUACGUGCCAGCAGCCGCGGUAAUACGUAGGGAGCAAGCGUUGUCCGGAUUUACUGGGUGUAAAGGGUGCGUAGGCGGCUUUGCAAGUCAGAUGUGAAAUCUAUGGGCUCAACCCAUAAACUGCAUUUGAAACUGUAGAGCUUGAGUGAAGUAGAGGCAGGCGGAAUUCCCCGUGUAGCGGUGAAAUGCGUA